rnacentral:rRNA from 1 species
GACGUAGGGGGCAAGCGUUGUUCGGAAUUAUUGGGCGUAAGGCGCUCGUAGGCGGGACUGUAAGUCCGUGUUGAAAGACCUCGGCUCAACUGAGGGACCGGCGCGGAUACUAUAGUUCUUGAGGCAAUCAGAGGGUGAUGGAAUUCCCGGUGUAGUGGUGAAAUGCGUAGAUAUCGGGAGGAACACCAGUGGCGAAGGCGACUAUCUGGGCUGCAACUGACGCUGAGGCGCGAAGGCUAGGGUAGCAAACAGG